UUGGCGCGCCCCGAAUUACUCGCCGUCCUCAUUGUCACACCGUGAAAGUGGAUUUUAAUCCUUCCCUCCCCCUUUGCUCUCUUCCCUUUCCUUUCUCUGCUUAAUUUUGCGACCAGCCCCCAACUCGGGGCUCCAGGAAGUCGGUUUCCUUAGCCCUGUCCUUCCUCAGCCUCACCAUCGCUCUGCCUUCUCGGUCUUUCUCUUUCUCACUGCAGCGGGGCUCGGCUCCCGGGAGGUUCCUCCCCUGAAGGAGGGUCGUCAGCUAAUUUCCUUUUCGGGCGAUCCCCGACCGGCGGUGGAAACCCACUGUGGUGGAACAACUGAGCUAAAUCUCCAGCCUGAAUGGAUUUUUUUCUUCAUUCAUUCAUGCAUCCCUGGAUAAAUAUUACUUAUAGGAUGAGGGUAUUUUUCCCAGGCUGGUGAGAAGCCUACUUUUCUUCUGAAAGUGGAAGAAACACAAGAAUGAAAACAGGGCUGGGAAGGAAGCACAUCUACCCACACCUUGAUGGCUGACACCUUCCUAGGCAGGAUUGAACUCAGGACUUCAUGCUUGUCAGGCAGGCGCUGUGCCAGUCUCUGAGCUACAUCCCUGGCCCCAGGUCCCUGACUACCCUAAGGUGAUCAGCUUUGUUCACCACAUGCUCCUGCCAUGAUGUGCUGCCUUGCCACAAGUUUAAAAGCAAUGACCAUGGACUGAAAUGUCUGAAACCAUGAGCCAUGAAAAGAAAUCUUUCCUCCUUCUAAGUUGUUUGUCUCAGGUAUUUUGUCACAGUAGCUCAAAGCUCACUAAGACAAGAUUUGUGUAGGCAUGUCCCUCGCAAAGCCUUUGUGGAAGCUCAGGGUAAUGUGUACUCUUGUUUAAAAUUGUCAUCCUGGCCAUCAACUCUGGCUGCAGGUUAGAAUUACCUGGGUGCUUAUAGACUACCAAUACCCACCCCACUGGUCCAUUCUAGUUCAGCUGGUCAAAAGAGGUAUCUGGGCAUAAGUAUUUUUUACAUGUUUCCUAGGUGAUUCUAAUGCAUACCCUGAUUUUGGAGCAAUAUUCUGUUGCCAUAGGCUCCACACAGCUCAUGGACACAAUGCUGCUUUGUGCUGUGUUUGUAAUACUUCAUCUAGUCAGAGGCAUCAUCCCUGUGAGGUGAAGUCCAAUUGUAGAUUUUUUUAAAAUGUAGAAAAUAGGUGUCUUUGAUUGGAUGAAAUAUAGUCUUGCUUGCCUGUAAGACUAAUCGUCCCUGAUAGCAACAGUCCUGGCUUCCCUAGCUCUGUGUUCUUCUCAGCCUUCAGUGUUUAGCUGGUGGGCGGGGUUCCCCGAGCACUUGCUGAGUGUGCGCCGGCAUCAGGCUGCUCCAUUACUGCCCGUUCUCUGGACUCUUUUCUCCUCUCUGGUUGGACAGAACCUCAUCCUGAGGAGAAAGUAGAUAGUCAAAAAAUUUUUUUGUGGAUUAAUUGACUGAUUAUGAAAGAAGCUAUAGCCCAGUAUCAAGGAAUCAGAGUCAAGUAGAAACUGGAGAACUUGGUGGUGUCGUUGGCUAUGGAUAGAGGGAAAUGGCCACUGAGCCCAUUCCUGGGCUAUGAGAGGUGACAGAACAUCCUUCACCAACAGAAAGAUGGACUCAAGAAAUCAUCCCUGAUGAUGAAGUUUGUCUCUCCGUUACCUGAAGUGGUGGUUUGUCUACUUGGCUUCUUCCGCCUUGUCCUUUGUGUGUAUAAUUUCAAGGAAGGAGAGACUGGGAGUCAUUUUCCCCAAUAUCCCCAGUGCCUGGAGUAGUUCCUGUCUCAUAACAUAUGAGCAAUAAAUAUGGCUUUUCUUUUCUUUUUUUCCAAUACCGGCAAUCAAACUCAGGACCUUGUGCUUGCUAGGCAGAUGUGGCGCCACUGAGCUCCUUAAAUGUGGGUUUUGUUUUCAGGCA